CUCACUCCCCAGGCCCACACACUAGCCCACUGUUCAGGGUCCGGGGUGGCAGCAUGGCCUGGGGGUCCUGGCACCGCUGCUCCUCUGCCCACCCUAACUUCCCGGCAUGGCGGCUGCCCCCUCUGAGCGUCCCCAACCCAGAACUGCAGGGGAUAUGAAGCAAGCUGGACUUGGGGAGACAUCUCUGCUCGAGUGCACGUUGGCCUGAUGACGACUGCUCUUGGGUUCACGGGUUCCAGGCUCUGCCCGGGAGCCUCAUGCAAACUGGUCCCGUUCUACAGACGAGGAAACUGAGGCACAGAGUGAUUACGGCUGUCCCUGAGCUCCUGCAGCCAGUAAGGUGAUACACCAGGAUGUGUUCCCAGGUUGUCCGCUGGGCUCAGUAACACAGUCUCAACUGCCCUGUGACACUGCGUGUCUGUGCUUGUGGGGAAGGUGACCAGAGGCCCCCUUUCCUCCACGCGGUGAGCCUACCAGCAAGGAGACAGUCCUCAGGUGUGAGGAUGAGCCUCGUAGUAGGCACAGAGAAACAGGAGGAACCUUCUGGAAGGUGAAGCCUCCCACGGCUGGGACUCUUGGAGAAGGGCGGAUCUCUGUCCACUCCUGCCCACUCCCCAGCACAGACAGAGCAAGCAGGACAGAGGGCCCAACGUCCCAGGAUACUGCAGAGCUCAAAGGAGGGCAGAGAGCAUCGCCCCACAUGGGCGCCGGGAGAAAGGUGGGCGGGGUGCUCAGGGGCCCCUGGCCGUCCUGAAGUUUGCCUCAGAGAGGUGUGGGCUUCUCCUCCCUCCCAUACACAGUGUCUCUGAGGAUGAACUGCCAUGUGCCCGGCGGGGAUGCCGUCCCUGGCCCUUGCUGAGUGCCUCUGGGACGAGGUCAGCUGAGCCUGCCAUCCUAACUCAGACACCAUCUCACUCUCCAAGUCCCUUCUCGGUGAGACGGGGGGCCUUGCACCCACCUCCCAGCCCCCACACACCUGAGGGGGUCCCCGUUCCCCUACCCCGUGGCUCCACCACGCCCCACGCAUCCUACCUGAGGGACAGAGGGGACUGUGAGAUGCCCCCCACAGGCUGGUUUUCCUCUUUCACCCAUAACAGGCCCAGCAAAUUCUCACCUCCAGAGGCCAGGUCUGCCCCGCAGGUCUUAGGAAAUACAGCCCUACUUCCAUCCAGCACACCAACCCAAGGAAGUGCCUCGGAGCCCUGGGGCCCGAGGGGGGCCUGGCCUUGGUCUCACGGCGGCAGCUCCACCUGGAGAGGAGUGAACUCAAGCCAGGACGCCCCGUCUCCACAGCGGAAACCGUGUUGCCGGCUGCUCCCUCCUGGGGACUCUGGGCCUGAGGUUCCUGUGGGAGUUGGGGGGAUAGCUGAGUCCUAUGGAGGUGCCCCUCUCCUCCCCGCCCAGUGGAGCUUGGGGUGGGGACAGGCGAAGACAGGGUGAGAAGCACGGGGCAUUCCCCCUCCACACAGCGCUGAGAAAGUAAGGGAGCAUCCAGAAAACGGUGCCCACUUCCGCGUCAGGCGGAUAUCACGGGCACCAGCUCCAGGUGACCCUAGCCCAGCCAGAGAACAAGGACCAGGUUGUGCCGCAAAGCCCGUGUCCGCUCCCUCCCGCCUGGGACCACUGUGGCGAGGGGAAGGGAGCGUGGUGGCCCUCUCCUGACUCCUGAGGCCUGAAGUCCAAGCUCCCGGCCCUCAGGCAGGCCAGGGUCUAGACACCGCUGCCCCAAACACACCCCCCAGUCCCCGCCCGCAGGCUUCCUGCAGGAUCCCCCAGUGCACCUGGGGGCUGAGGAGAGUGAGCAGGGCGCAAAGAAGCUUCGUCGGGAGGGCGGUCCCCACCCGCCUUGGACCCCCGGGGAUAGUGUCCUGGGGCCUGGGCUCAGAUGCACCCUGGGAGGAAUGGUGCGGAGGCUGUUUUUUGCUCCAAGAGGACAUUGCCUCAGCAGAGGGCUGCCGAGCUGGGAGGACCCACAGUGCAAGGCCGCAGAACCCCCUAGGAAGCCUCAGAGCCUUCAGGUUCCGGGCUGAGGCUGUGGGCGUGGACCCUUGUGCAAACCCCACUGGAAGAAAAACCUUACAGCUCAGGAGGAGGAGGGGCCCCACCCGCUCCCAGAGCCCGUAAACGAGGGGUGGUGCCCACAUGAGGCCUGGGGAAGGGCUGGGGCUGGGACACCCCCUCACCACCCCCAGAUACCCCAGGCAGCCCCUCCCUCCACAGAGAGACCCACUGGGCCUGACCCUGCCCUGGGCACAGGGUCGAGCCAGGGACGGCCCGUGGGAGAAAGACGGCUUCAUGGGCCGCUGGCCGGGCCAGGUGCGUCCUUCCCCAGUUCUAGGUGGCAAAUGGGGUGGGGCCAGAGCCUUCUGGCUAGGGAAGACACUGGCCUGGUUGGUGUGGCAGGGGCAGCGAAGGAGGGUCAAAGGCCACUCUGGCCUGGAAGAGUCCCCAGCCACCUGGACGGGGGUAGCCAGGCCUGGUCCCUGCCCCCACUCUCCAAGGGGUCGGGGCAGCCGGGCAGAGCCAGUAAGUGUUUGUUUUCAGAUGACAUUUGUAAAGAAAAACAGCCUCCCACACUGCUUGACCCUGUGUCUGGAAUGUGGGGAGGCAAACAGCUGUGCCCUUCCCAGACCCUGCACAGCCCCUGGUGGGGGCAGGGCCCUGGUGGGAGCAGGGCCCAGAGGUACAGCCUGGGGAGGCACCGGCCAUUGUGGUUGGAGCGCGGCAGCCAGGCUCUGGGCUCUGUUCCGGGCCUCACUGUGUCCCCAGUGGGGUGCCGCCACCACCCCCCCAGCCUGGGCCCCGCCGGUCAGACACCCGCAGGGACAGCUUGUCUUGGCUAGCUGGCUACAGCACCUCGCUGGAGUCCAGCAGACACGCGCUCCCGUGCGCACGCUGCGCCCCAGGCCAGCCCUAACGCCGCUGCUCGGGUCAGGCCCCCCGCCUGCCGUGGGCUGCUGGCUGCCUUGGCCCGCCCCAGCUCUCUCCGCGCCCCUGCCUCCAGGGAGCCCUCCUCGAGGACUCCAGCCACCCAAGCUCAGCAGGGCCAGCCCGAGCCCCUGCCCCACACAGCCUGUGUGGAGGGUCCUCAGCCCCCUGAUCCCCCAGACCCUCCCGGCAGAGGCUGGGUCCCUGGGGCUUGGGGAAAGCCGGCUCCAUGGCCCCUGGCCUGGAUGAUUUCCCAGAGGCCGGUCCCCUGCCAAGUGCCUGGUGACCCUUGUUCCUACCUGGCUGCCCAUGGUCCUUUGUGCGACCCCCGCCCACAGCCCAGGAGCUGGGCAGGAGACUCUGAUUGGGUGGCAGCAGAGCCAUCCUAGGGCUGCCCCUGACCCUGGCCCUGACCCUGCCCUGGAGCCUCGUUUCCAAAUCUUGCCUCAUGCUUUCGCCAGACCCCUGUGGCCCCUUCCCGACCCUGGAGUGCCCCUGGGGCUUCCUGGAAAGGGCCUCUCCUUUGCUCACAGUUGGGUGCCGAACUUCACCAGCAUUGACCACCCGAAGGCGCAGGGACACCCCCGCAGUCCCUCUCCUGGGGGUCCCAUCACCAACUCCCCAUGGGCGGGAUAUCAGAAGAAUUCUCUGCGCAGGUGCUCCGCCCCUUCAGGCACAGGGGAGGGCGGCUCAGGGGCCAACGGCAGACGUUGGUGCCUGCCCCUGCAGCGGGGUGCCCCAUGCUGAGACAGCACACACGGGGGACACUCCGGGCCUCGGUCCACCCUCCAUGUGGCAAAUGAGGUGCUUGGCGGGGCUUCUUAACUCUUCACCCUGGGCUCCCCACGGGUCCCUUCCCUUCCCCUUGGGGGCCCCGGCCCCAGGUCCCCAAGGCCUAGACCUGCCUCUGCCACCCUCAGAGCAAGGAUGCGCUGCAGAGGGAGAGGGGCUGCAGCUCGGCCCCAGAGCUCCGGCUUCCUGUCUCCCAGACCACAAAUCACUAAAGGCCGUGGGUCCUGGGACAUUGAAGGCCCAGGAAGCUCCUUGUGUUGAGUUAAACAUAGUGGAGCAGAGGCAUGGAGCUGGCAUUUCCCACGCUUACGACCACUCUGCUACGGGCUGGGGUGGGGCUGGGAAUCAGCUUCCCCUGCGCCCCGCCAUCCCUUGUCCAGAGGGACCCGUGGGAAGGCCAGGUUGAAGAGUUAAGAAGCCCCGCCGAGCACCUCAUUUGCCACACGGAGGGCGGACCGAGGCCCGGAGUGUCCCUCUUGCGCACUGUCUCAGCAUGGGGCACCCCGCUGCAGGGGCAGGCACCAACGUCUGCUGCUGGCCCCUGAGCCACCCUCCCCUGUGCCUGAAGGCCCAGCACUUCCAGGGCUGCCCGAGCUGAGGACCUGUGCAGAGAACUCUUCUACACCCCACAGAGGAGGCUGAGGGGUCGAGGCGGCUGCGGGAGCCCCAGGGGGCCACCACACAGCCAUGCCUGCCCCUCUCCUCGGUGGGUGUAGAAAGCUCUUAAAUGGUGGAAAAACAAGGGCAUGGCCACAUUGCACAGGCACAGAAGGUUCCAGAAGGAGUGAAACAAUGGCAUGGAGGGAGCAGAGCCUGGGCCGGUGGGGGCACAGGGAUGAGGCCAGUGAAGGCCACGGGUUGGGGGGUGCCCUGAAGCCAACGACCCCAUCCUUAUCGCCUGUGUCUCUCUGCACACAGCGUCUCGUCUGCAAAGUUAGCUGAGCAAACGCCAGGAGCCAAGGGUCGAGGCAACGAUAUCCGUGGGGCCACUCCACACCCCCUCUGCCUGCCCCAUCAAGACCUGCUUUCCUGGUUGAAAUCCAACUCACGAUUUGCCCCCGGGGGCCCAGCAGCCCUACCCAAUGGAGCAGCUGCACCCACAUUGCCCAGCUUCCCAGGCGGACAGGGGCUUGGUGAGCCUUCCUGUCCCCACUGGAGCAUGGCCGGAGUGAUUUUCUGCUUCUGCUGCAGAUCACCCUGGUGGGAGCAGCUGUAAUCGCAUUAUCCCCAGUUAUGCCUCCACUGGGCACUGGGGUAGGGACAGGACUGCCAGGACACGAUUCCAUUUACCUAACGCCAGUGGAGCCCUGGGGGCUCUCCUAGGUCCACGGGGAGGGGUGGCCAUCUCUCUAGGCCCAGGGACCCCAGGACAGGGGUAGAAAACCACGGGAGAGUUAAGGAGUUAAGGCCAGAAGGGGCCAGUCCGGCCAAGUGGGGCAAAGCUGUCCACCGUUGGGCAGGGCAUGACUGAGGGGCGGUGUGGGGAACAGCUGCUCAUCUCCCCCAGGCCCAUGCCCGUGAUGAACUGUGUGACUACCCCCAGGAUCAGUCAGGAAGCUUGGCCCAGGAGCCUGUGCAGACCUAACAGCCAGCUCCAGCCCCGAGGCAGGGCAGCUGUGCUCCAGAGGGCUCCCGGGGCCGCACUGUCCCUCCCAGGUGGACACCCUCGUGGCACGUACGCCCCUGCUCUCAGCCCUCUCCUUCACUGGAUGGAGAGACUCGGGACCCGCAGAGGUGGGUGGCGGGCAGAGGAGGUGGAGCUGGUCUGAGACGCAAGACGUGGCCUGUGGAUUCUAGGAGCAACUGGUGGCUUCCAAGGUCCCCCACCCACUCCACACAUGUUCCCAAACCCCGUUUUGCAGAUGAGGAUGGCAGGCUCAGCACAGGGGCCCAUGUCUCUGUCACCAGGCAAGGUGGGGGGGCUCUAGGGCCAGAAUCGCUCCCACCUCCAGCCGGGGAUCAGAGGUCUCUGGUUAGCAGCCGAGGCGAGCGGGACACAGGCUGAGGGAUGGGGACAGCUGCUCGCCCGGCACAGACAAGGCUCCCCUCCCCAUGCUGGAGACCCCGGCUGCCCCAUCAGUCACGGCCCACCCAGGACCAUGCAAUCAUCCUCCACUUCUCCUAAUCCUCCUGCCAGCUUCUUCCCAAGAGUCCAAGCAGUUGGAUGCAUUUUCUAAAUUCUCAGGCCACUGCUGUUUCCUCCUCAAAUUCCUUGUCCCCCACCCGUGGCCCCCUCCCAGCCAUGGGAAAGGACUGCUGCGGCCUCCCCACAGGCCUGUGCACGGGUGGGGCUGCGUCCAGGCAGCUGUGAGGUACCGGGGACCCAGGGGUAAGAGCCCCGAUUACAGGGGCGUCAUGGGAAAGUGGCGAGGGGAGGCCACCCAGGGCCCCCACCACAGCCCCGCUCCACAUCCUCCCCUGAUCUCUGGCCCUGGAAAGAAUCAGAUGGGACCCCCAGCAGCAGUCACUUGAGUCCCACUGCCACCGGCUGUGCUGAGGAUGCCCACUGGGCCGUGCUGUGGCCACCUGGCUUGCAGUGUGGGCACCAAGGUAUCGGCCCAGAUUCCUACCCAUCAGAGCACCAGCACAGGGCCGAGCCAGUGCCACAGAGCCCCUGGGCUGCAGCACGUCCUGCACGUCCCACAGACCGGCCUGCCGGGAGGGAGGGGUGCUGCCCAGGGCUCGGUGCCCUCCCGGAAGGGGCUUCAGUGGGGCUGUUUGCCAGGUGGUGGCUCUGACGCAGGAGAGGACAGAUGGGCAGAGCCCGAGGGCAGCCCUGGCCAGGUGCGUACAGUGGUGGCUGUGACGCCCUCUCCCACGCCUGUCUCUGGGUCCAGGAGGAGUGAUGAUCUCCAGGCUCCAGAGGACUAGGAACAGCAGGCAGGCUCGCUGCUGAUAACGGGGACUUCUCCACCUGGUGGGGAGUGAUGAGGCAAGACCGGAUGGCAGGCCCCAGGCCUCUCCUCUCCAGGGACAGCCAUCAUCUCCUCGCCUGUGCAGGUCUCAAUCAGUCAGUGAUUACGCAACCAGCAACCAGCACUUUAUUGCCGGUUGUGAAGAUCUGGAGGACAUGCGGGUCCCCGGGGCCACAGCCUUCCCGCAUGGGUGAGCAGUAAGCUGUGCAAUUAGCCCUCAGGCCGUCAUCGCCAGGCCCUGCCUUUGUUCCUCCACCUGCCGCCCGCCGGAAGCCUCCCACAACCUGGCCAGCCUGCUCUUUCUCCCCCUCCACUCUGACCCCUUCCUCCUCAGGGCCCUGACAUGCAGCUAUCUGGCACCCAGUUUCAAUACCUUUUUCUUUCUUUUUUUUUUUUUGAGACAGAGUUUCACUCUGGUUGCCCAGGCUGGAGUGCAAUGGCUCGAUUUCGGCUCACCGCAACCUCCGCCUCCUGGGUCCAAGUGAUUCUCCUGCCUCAGCCUCUGAGUAGCUGGGAUUACAGACAUGCGCCACUACGCCCAGCUAGUUUUGUAUUUUUUGUAGAGACACGGUUUCACCAUGUUGGUCAGGCUGGUCUUGAACUCCUGACCUCUGGUGAUCCACCCACCUCGGCCUCCCAAAGUGCUGAGAUUACAGGUAUGAGCCACCGAGCCGGGACUUCUUUUCUUUUCUUUUUCUUUUUUCCAGCCCUCAACUAUCCGUUUCAUUAAAAAAUUCAGAAUUCUCUCCCCUGCCUGCCAGGAUGGGACCCAAAACUCGGGCAAUAGGCCUGCCCGAGUUGUGGCCCUGGGCCUGUCCCCGACAAGUCACCCUACGUUUUCCAUUCCACCAUCCUCUCUCUGCACCUCAAGCACCGUGAACCCUCUCCCACCUGCCUGACCUCGCCGUCUCCAAAGGAGAACCUUUCUUGUGUCAUCCCGCCCUCUCUAGGCCCGCCGUCUGCCUGGGGGCUGCCCUGGUGGCUGUGCUGUGUCUCCCACUGCUGUGCGCACGGUGCUGCCUGCUCUUUGCCUCAGAGGCACUGGAGCCCAUGUGCUCGGGGGGGUGUGGCCUUCGAACACUGUGAGUCCCCACAUCUUGCCUCCAGAGGCCACAGCUGGCCUGGGCCAAGCCUGGGCCACUUCCUCUGCAGUGACCAAGAGCAGGGCUGCCUCGAGGGUUUCGGGGCAGGAGAGAGGGAACAAAUCUCCUGGAGGCAGAUGGGGGCCACAGGGAGGCUGGAGGCCUGGAACCCCUCCCAGAGAGCCAGUGGAGGGAUGCUGCCUGGCAGAUGGGAGAUGGCAGGCGGGUGCUCCAGGGGCUCCUCCCUCCUUGUAGCACCUUGGACAUGUUUUGUUUUAUUAUGGUGAAAAUAUGUAACAAAACUAGCCAUUAUAGCCAUUGAGCCACUGAGCCACGGAGCCACGGAGCCACGGAGCCAUGGAGCACACACAUCAGUGGCACUCAGUCCAUUCUCACUGCUGCGCAGCCAUCGCCACCAUCCACCUCAGACCUCCUCCCUCUUCCCAAACUGAAGCUCCCUGAAGGUGCCCAGCCUCCUUGCCAGUAGAUGAGAUGGGGAGGCAGCCCUGCUCGACCAAGGAGGCAGAAGUCUUGAUUGUUCUCCCUACAGUCCCACGGGAAGCACCUGCAGCAGGGCCCUGGCUGGACAGACGGCCACAAGGGGUGUGGUGCAGUGAUCGGGUGCCCUGGCCUGGGCAGGAGAGUGGCGCCCUUGGCCUGCCCAGCCCCUGCCCUGCGGCCCGCCUGACAGCCGAGGGGAGCUUCACCUUCCAGCCUCUGGCUGUCAUUAGCUGCUCCCGGUGGGAGGUGGGACCGGCAGGGGAAGCUCAGUCCCACAGCCAGUGAGGAUCCAGGCUCAAGCGGAACCACCUGGACCUCAUUAUUCUUAAGUGGUCCAGUCUGAAAGUUUGGGAAGAGGGGAGGAAAAAACUGCCAAUCCCCACGCCUGGGGAGCCCCACCCCCUCUUCAAGCCAGCACUGAAGCCCUGGGGGUUUCAGCCACAAUGGAGAGCUAAACCGGGCCCACCCCAGGGCCCAGGAGGGGCAUCUGUAGAGGGUUCAGCCCCAGGAGGACUUGGAGGUCAGGCAAGCCAACGGGAGUUCAGAGCUUAGGAGGGGUGAGAGGUCAGACUCUGGUCCUUUCUCAUCACCUGGGGUCCGUCUGUCCUUCCAGGUCACCUGGGGUGUCUACAGUCAAGGCCAGUCUGACAGGUGGGAUGGUGCUUCCCAGCAACCCCACCCUGAGGAGAACCCUGCUGCCUCUCCCUGCUCUCCACCCCCAGCACAGGCCCCGGGAAGCCUCCAGCUGAUGACGACACCAGGACGGUGCUGAGUGGACCCUGGGGCCAGCAUCACAAGGCACCCAGGACCCCAGACCACCCAGCCACACCCCAGGCUACGAGGAGGGGGCGCUCCGGCGAGGCUGGGGUGCCUUCAAGGUGCAUCCUAGCAACAUCCUCCACCUGCAGGAGGGACACUCGGUCACAGCUUGGGGAGGAUGUGCUCAGACGGCAUAGGAAGGAUUUGCUCAGACCCCAUGGGGAGGAUUUGCUCAGACCCCGUGGGGAGGACUUGCUCAGACCCCAUGGGGAGGACUUGCUCAGAACCCAUGGGGAGGACAUGCUCAGACCCCGUGGGGAGGACAUAGACCCCGUGGGGAGGACUUGCUCAGACCCCGUGGGGAGGACAUGCUCAGACCCCAUGGGGAGGACUUGCUCAGACCCCGUGGAGAGGACAUGCUCAGACCCCGUGGGGAGGACAUGAUCAGACCCCGUGGGGAGGACUUGCUCAGACCCCGUGGGGAGGACAUGCUCAGACCCCGUGGGGAGGACUUGCUCAGACCCCGUGGGGAGGACUUGCUCAGACCCUGUGGGGAGGACAUGCUCAGAACCCAUGGGGAGGACUUGCUCAGACGGCAUAGGAAGGAUUUGCUCAGACCCCAUGGGGAGGAUUUGCUCAGACCCCGUGGGGAGGAUUUGCUCAGACCCCGUGGGGAGGACAUGCUCAGACCCCGUGGGGAGGAUUUGCUCAGGCCCCAUGGGGAGGACUUGCUCAGACCCCGUGGGGAGGAUUUGCUCAGACCCCGUGGGGAGGACAUGCUCAGACCCCGUGGGGAGGAUUUGCUCAGACCCCGUGGGGAGGACUUGCUCAGACCCCGUGGGGAGGAUUUGCUCAGACCCCAGGCAGGCAUCAUGAAUGCGCCCAGCCCGGACCCCAGACUGGUAGCUCCUACCACACGCGGAGCAGCAGAGGCUGGCAAGAGGGACUCAGGACUUGGGCUGGGGACAGAGGGCCCUGCACAGCUCUGGGGUCCUGACCCAAUCCUGCAUUUCCAUAGAGAGCUGCCUGGGCACCCAUGCUGAGGGUCCCUGCACCCCCUGGUGUAUCGGAGACCCUUCCCCCACCCCCUAUCCCCCGCCACUGAGACACAGGAAUGUACAGGAUGGCUGUGAGGGCAGAGGCAGGCCCAGGGCGCAGCAGGCAGGGCUGGGCGGGGCUGGGGAUCUGCAGGAGGUUGGCCCUGGAGAUGGGACAUGUCUGGACCCUCGGUGUCAUCACCUCUAUGUUUUGACCACUGAGCAAAAUUACACUAAAUGAAGCACAAAUUAGCCAAGGGGACAGUCGACUCUGUCCUUUCUUCUUAAUCCCUCUGGCUCAGGGUUUCCCAGCCUGGACAGCCUGUCCGAGGGGAAGGCUGCCCAAGGGCACACGGGCAUCGGUCCGGGGACAUUCAGGCAGUGACCAAUCCCUGGCCACCCUGGUGUGUGCCCGGCAAUGUGGGCCUUUUCCCAGACAGCCAGUGGGGGAGCGGCUGCUGUGGGUCCCUGAGUCUUAGCCAGAUGGUCAAGGAUAGGACAAUGAUGGAGACCCGCAUGCGGCCGCAUCCAUGGGUAAAGGAGGCGGAACGGAGGACAGCUCUGCCAUCCCCUCAGCCAGCCAUGAAAAGCAACCCUUUCCCCUAAGGCCCCAGCACCACCUUGGAGGCCACCAUGGGCUGGAGCCCAGCACAGCCACCAUCGCAUCUUGGCUGUCCAGCUCAGGACGGCCAGUUCCAAGGCGUCCAGGCUGGAGCUCUGGGGGCGGAAGAGCACAAGCUCCUGAAGAGCCUCUGGUCCAGCCCUGGCAGCGGAGGGCCAGGUGAGAGCCUGUUGAGGGCUCUGAGGACUCCAGGAGGGACUGGCUGAGGACACCGGUGGGGGUAAUACCUCCCCCUCCAAUGGCCGCUCGCAGGAGGCAAUUCCCAGAGCCCCGCUCCAUGGGCCACCAGGUACCCAGAGCCUCAUUUAGAAAUGGCCAUGCCUCCCCACAGGCCCCCGCUGGGAUCCUGGUGCUUCAAAUGUCCUGCUGUGGUCCCAGGGAGGAGCAAAACCCCCUCCCAGUCAGGAAGCAUCCUCAACCGCAUCUAAUUCCAGAUGCUACCUCCCACCUUGGCUUUCCAGGAGACGGAGAACGGAGCCGGCCCCUCUCCAAGGCCCCGAGGCCCGGCAGGGCACCCCUCGGAGCAGAUAAGCUCACCCCUGCUCCCAGGACAAGCAAGCUCCUGCUGAGGCUCUGCUACUGCUAAUUGGCCCUUGGGAUAAGCAGACCUGUCCAGGAAAGAACCCUCUCCCUGAUCUCCUGGCCCCAGCCCCAUCCGGCCGGGAGUUCUGACUUAAGCAAAUAAUCAGUCCAGGGAAUUGGAGGCUCAACAGAAUCGUCCUCCAGGAAUCUGGUCUUCGUUCCUCCACCCUCCUCCUCCCGUCUCCGCCCGGGGUCUUGAGAUCAACAGCAAGGUUUUGCACUCGUAGGGGCUUCCCGGAGACACCCUCCAGCCUCAACCCAGAGGAGAUGGGUGCCUGGGCCGUGACCCCUCACACAAGAGGACCAAGCCCAGAGAGGAGACGGGAAGCCAUGCGCCCGGCCAGCUGGGGUCUGCGAUGGACUCAGUGGGGUCCAGCCCUCCUCACUCCAAGGGGAGCUGGGAGCCGACCCGGUGAGGGAGGGCAUCCUGGGAAAGUGACAGGAAUCAGGGAAUGGCCCUGGGGCUCCGGACCUCCUCUGAUGGAGUCAUUCAAGGCCCUUGGCAGAGCUGGGCAUCCUCUGGGCCCCAGGGAAUAAGGUCCCCUCACUCCACCACAGAACAGCAUCUGGGCACCUACCUGUUGGCCAUGGGCAGAGCAAAACUCUCUCCUGGACCCCAGUGCCCAGAGCCCUGGCCUUGGGAGGGAGCUGUGCAUCCUCAGGAGCCCCCCCGGGCUGCCCCCCACCACCCUGCAGGCAGCUCACCCUCCCACCCCACCAGCUGCAGGUGCGGACACGUGUCUUCUCCUUCCCCAAAUGCUCGUUCUGCACCUGCUUCGGGAGGGCAGUCCUGCCUGCUCACAGCCCAGCCCUGCCCGAACUCCUGGCCAUGUGUGGAAACACACGGGCGUUAGAACAUGGCAUCCCGGUUCCCUUCUAUGUUCAGGAAGACGACACCCAUCUGGCUGAGGGGAUGGCAGAGCCCCUCUCCCCACAGCCCCCUCUGCAGUGCAGCUCUCCUUUCCUCUCCCCGCAUGCCUCUUCCCGAGGGCAGCCCCUUCUCUCCAUCAGGAUCGCAUGCCUCUUCUCGAGGGCGGCCCCUUCUCUCCAUCAGGAUCACCCUUCCUGGGCCUCCGGGGUGCAACGGGCGGGCGCUGUUUCCCCCAAGCCCUCCCUUCCUCCCUCGGGGUGGGGCCCUUUCCUCCAGGCUCUUCUCCGUCUCCUGGUCUCUGCCAUCUCCCAAAACCCAUUCUAUUUCUCCACAUGUCUACCUCGUCCCCCAUCCGUCUCCAUUCUCCUAGUCUCCCGCCUGCCAGCCCGGCCCUGGCACCAGCCACUUGGCAGCCUCCUCCUCCUCCUCCCAGAACCUUCUCUUUCCUUCCUGGUCCCAUCUCAAACUGCAGCAAGCUGGUCGAAAGGUGAGACCAGGCUGGGAGGAGCUGUGGGCCACGGAGAUGGUGGCCGGGGGAGGUAUGGGAGGUGGGAGGGCAGGCGGGCCAGGUGGGGAGCAGGGCAUCUUGCCAUGGGAAGGGCUGGAGGAAACACCGCAUCCAGGGAUGGCCAGAGCUCGCCUGGAGCCCCUGAAGGUCUUGCUUUUAGAGCCGGGUGGGGCUGCUGUGUGGCCAAGCCGGGCGAGUGGCCCCAUCCCCGGGUCCUGGGCUCCUGGCGUCUGCCCUGGAGCCCACCAUGUUGCAGUACUGUGUGGCCGUCCAUUGCUGCUCUCUUCACUGUAUGACCGGGGGUUCCCUCUGUGCCCCUCAAAGCCCCAACUUGCCUGGACUUUGGGUCUGCAGCUGGCGCAUGGGAAUCUUCCCACAUGGCAGCGUAGGGUGACUAUGGAGCCGACCAAGGCUGCCAAGGUCUUACUUGAGUAGAAGACGUCCAUCCUGAGCGAUCCUGUUGGCCGGUCCUCCGGAUCCAGCCUUCCUGGGAAUGCGGCCACCCACAGGACUCCAAGCGGGUCUGGGGUCCCUGGUCCCCCAGGUUGACCACCCCUUGCUGCAGCUGCUCCGGAAACAGAGGGUGCUGCCCUGGCCAUUUUGCUCCUUGCUGGGUGUCUGGGAGGGCUGCGAGGGGAGGAAGAAGGGCAGGGAGAGGUGAGAGACCCGAGAGAAGGGGGAAGGAGUCUCAAAGGAGGGGAGGGACGGCCGGCCAGCACUGUGGCGCAGUGUGCAGGAGGGGAACAUGGCGGUGCCCGGCACGAGGUGGGGUGCGGGGCAGCCCUGGAGCCCUGGCUGCCUCUCCCAGCAGUGGGUCCGGCACUAGCUAGCCAGCUGAGCUUGCUGUGUUUGGAGUCUGCAGAAAGUGCUGCCCCGCCAAGCCCCACAGGCCAAGCCAGGCCCGAGGGACAGGAAGGAGCAUGGGGCCUUCACUCACUGCCCAGCCCGGGGCACGGCCGGCCCAUCUCCCAUUUCCAGGGCAUCCGGGGACGGGCACGCCCCGGAUACUUACUGCCCUGUCACUGGAGGUUAGCAUCCUCCCUCGUCCGGUGCCCUGCCCAGGUGGCUGUUACCUCCCCUACCUCCUCCAAGACCCUGAGCAGGGGGAGAAAGAAAGUGGACAGAGGCACCCGACCUCCUGACCUGAGUGUGGUCCCCGCUUUGUUCCCCCUUCCUCUGCCCCCAGUUCUCACUGCGAAGGAGGAGAGGGCUCACCUGGGGUGGCCCCACGUGCCUGCCAGCCUUGGUCCAAGACUGCAGAGAAGGGUCCCUGAGGAGGUGGGGAGGAACCCAGAGGCAGAUCCUGAGGGUCUUCCCUGAAAGAGGAGGGCUGGUGGGCAGCAGGAAGAUCCGGGAUUGUGCCCUCAGCUGCCCUCUCUGUCCUGACGUGUCACCCGCUAAGGGUCAUGGGCCAAGGAGGGAACGGGCAAUGUCUGGGAGCCAUAGAGUUGGGAUGGCCCGGCCAGGCUGGGUGUGGGGUCUGUUGGGGAUCCCAGGUGAGGGGAAGGAAUUGGGAGUGGACCUGGGCCCGAGGCAGGUUGGGUGGCUGGUGCAAGGCAGAGGGCUGGCCCCGGGGGCAUUCUGUCCUGGUUCCUCUGUCCCCUCACCCAGUUCGUGAGCAUCCCUCGUGGAGCAGGCCCCAGGGAGAUCACGGGCGGCGGGUGGGCAGAUGGAGUGCAAUAUCCCCCAAGGAAAGUGUGUUGUGAGGUGGUGGAGGGCAGGGCCGGAGAGGCCCCAGCUGUGGAGCAGGACGCUGGAGGGCUCAGGGCAGCCGAGCCAGGGCCCGGGGCAGCCGCAAAGUGGCACUGUGUUCUUUUGGGCCGGACCAGAGCCCAGGCAGUGUCAGGAGGUGGAUGGUGUGGAAGAGAGAGGAGUUCCAGGGGCGCACUGGGGGGCCCUCUGUGUGGCUGGAAGGUGGAGGGGCGCUGGGUGGAAGGGCUGGCUUCGGGCUGGCGGCUUGGGCUAAGGCAGGCUUGCAGGGGCUGGCUCCUGAACCCACGCAUGGCGAGAAGUAUGGGCUGGAGCGGCCACAGCAUUGGGGAAAGACAGAUGGGAGGGCUGGACAGGAAGCAGGGCUGUGGCCAGGCCGGGGCCCCGGGAGGACAGGGACGAGUGGUGGACGUGAGGGUGCAGAGGAGCAAAGUCCAGGACUUGGCCCGGAUCGGGAUGCUCAGGAGGCUGGGGAUGCUCGGAGGAAAGCAAUGGGGGAGCCCGGCUGCCUGCCCCACCCCUGCCACCCUCAGCUCCUUCUGCCCGCCAGGACUCCCAGGCUCCAUCAGGUGCCGCAGCACCCUGGCUGCGACAUAACGAGGUGGGACAGGGUCAGCAAGGUGACUUCUCGUGCCCCAGUGUUUGCAAAUCCCCAAAAUGACCCAACAGACAAGCUCGAGGCUGGAUUUUCCAAGAGGGCCCCUUCAAGUACCAAAGGACACAAAGAGCAGGCCCUUCUGAGUCUGCGGCCCACAGAUGGCAACACGGGCCCCGGACCCCAGGACCACCUUGGGCACAGAGCGGCUGGGCCCAGGAGGCUGGCCUCUCCCGGGGAUCCCACGGCUGGCCUGCGGGGCUGCAGCAAACACGUGCAGGGCUUUCCAGAGCCCCGCACAGAACAAAGAACAAAAUGGGGAGAGCAGGGCCUGGGCUGAACGGACCACGGGCGGGUGGGCGGAGGGGCACAGCGGCAUGGCACCCACUGCCAGGCCGAGGGCAGCUGCAGGGGGCUGGGCUGGAGCAGACCCGGGGUGGGGGUGGGGGCUGGAGGAGGCUCUCACGGCCGGAAUCAAUAACUCACACUGGGGGAGGGCGGGAGACGCUUGUGGCGGAGCGGGGAGGGGGUGCCGGACAGGGUGUCCCUCCACCCCCAAGUUCAAAGUUUUAUGGCGAGCAGGCUUGACUUCCUCCCGCGUCCCUCCUCUCCAGGUGUUAUUUGAAAAAAAUACUUUUCAAACUACAUGCUGAAAACUUCAGCAUGAAAAUUUAAUGUCAGAAACUCUGUAAUCUCUUUCCCAGAGAUAAGACCCAGCCCCUCGAGGAGGGGCGAACUCGAUCCCUCUAACACAGAAAGCAGACGCCAGGCCGGGAAGGCAGGGGCCUGGCGGCCUCACUGGGGGAGGCUCAGGCUCACGCUCCCUCCCUCCCUCCCACCCGCGGCUGGGAGGGGGUGACUGAGAGAGGCCCUGCAGGGCUGGAGCUGCAGGGCUGGGGCGAGGGGUCCGGCAGGAGGGGCCGUCCUAGUGCAGCCUGCAGGCUUCGGGCCUUCGGGAAGCACAUCCUGCCGCUCUCCCGCGUGCACCCCGCUCCCCGGAACUUGGAGUGGGUGCCGCUGCUGCCAAGGCUCGGGUUUCCAUGACGGCUGAGGCCCCUGGCCCUCUCACUCAGACCCUAACUUAGGCCUCGCUGAGGGCUCAGGUUGUGGACAGCUAAGCUGGGGAAGGACAACGUGGCCACCACCGCCCACGGCCUUUCUGACCGGCAGCGCCGCCCUGGGUUGGGUGGCGGGGGCGUCCUGCACACACGACUCCUGAGGUCAAGCCUGGGUGUGGGGGUCUUGGACUCUGAGCUGCCAGGCCCGCCGGGUCCUGGCCUCAGGGAGAGGGGAACGGAGCUGCCACACACCCGGCUCUUGACUCGAUUUCUCUGUGGGGGACAGACAUAACUUCUCCAAGCUGUUUCCAACAGCCCCCACCCUGAAGACGGCCUCCACCUCAGACAUCAGACAACGCCCC
rnacentral:lncRNA from 1 species